rnacentral:tRNA from 1 species
UUUUAUCUAGUUUAUUAAAACGUCGGCUUGUCAAGUCGGCAAUACUAUUGGUGAUAUAAU